AUGGCGGCUGCAGCCAAGGCGUCUUGGAUGGCGGCGAUGAGCGUCGGCGCCGUGGAGGCGCUCAAGGACCAGGCCGGCCUCUGCCGCUGGAACUACGCUCUCAGGGCCAUUCACGGCGCAGCCAAGGGCAAGGCCAGCAUCCGCCGCGGUGCUGUGGUCUCGCAAGGCACGAAGCGGCCUCCGGCCUCUGCGGCGGCCGUGGCAGAGAGGCGGCGAGCGGAGAAGGCCGAGGAGGGGCUGCGGACGGUCAUGUACCUCAGCUGCUGGGGUCCCAACUAG
rnacentral:rRNA from 1 species